GGAAGGAAGGAAGGAGAGAAAGAAGGAAGGAAGGAAAGAAGGAAAAGGUAGCACUGUCUGCAGUGUAGGGUUGUUAGAGAAGGUUCCCCCACUGCUGCCACCAAACAGUUAAAACGUUCCAAGCCCUGUCCGAAAUGCAGUGUCGCGCUGUUGCUCUCUGCCUGGGCCGAGGUUUCAUCCUCCCCCCGCCCCGCCCCGCAGCCCUCAGCCCUCAGCCCCGCUCCAUCCAUGCCCGCUGACUGCCGGCCCCCGCACAGCCCGGGCUGCGGGCACGGAGGGCGGACAAACCGUUUCCUUUCCCCGGAACGUUUUGGAGGAGGAGGAGGGCCUGGAGGUGCCCCGGAGGUGAGGGAGAGGCCGGGGCUGUGCCUCCGCGCUGCGUGUGGACAACGCUCUGCAGGAGCCGGGACUUCACCGAGAGAGUAAUGCAGAAAGUGCGGUUGCAUCUCGGAUCGGAGAGGAACCCCGAAAGGCUCAGAGAAAAACCCCAAUGAAAUAUUGGUUUGGAGAAGGAAAAAAAAAA
rnacentral:lncRNA from 1 species